CAAUAGCGUAUAUUAAAGCUGUUGCGGUUAAAAAGCUCGUAGUUGGAUUUCUGUCAAGGACAACUGGUCCGCCCCUCGGGUGAGCACAUAGUUUGGUCUUGGCAUCUUGUUGGAAACUGUUGCUGCACUUGGUUGUGUGGCGCAGUGUCCAGCACUUUCACUUUGAGGAAAUUGGAGUGUUUCAAGCAGGCACAUGCCUUUGGACACAGUAGCAUGGAAUAAUUAGAUUGGGCUUUUGCUCCAACUUGCCGGUUUCUGGAGCUGAGGUGAGAAUUAAUGGGGAUUGUUGGGGGCAUCCGAAUUUAGCCGUCAGAGGUGAAAUUCUUGGAUCUGCUAAAGACGGACAACUGCGAAAGCGUUUGCCCAGGAUGUUUUCAUUGA
rnacentral:rRNA from 1 species